GGUUAGACGAAGAAUCUAAGUAGAAUAGUUUAUUAUUUUAAUUAACAGUAAAUACUUUAAAGUGAAUUUAUUUAUUUUUUUGGGUGAAAUUUAUAUAAAUGAACAAAAAAUCUUAUGUUAUUUAGAGGAAUUAGUAAGUGAAGAUAAAAAACCAGGAUUAGAUACCCUGUUAUUCUUUAUAAUAUAUAAUAGGGUAGUAAAAGUUAUUCUUCAAACCCAAAGAUUUUGGCGGCAUUCUAACCAAACAGAGGAGCUUGUUUUAUAAUCGAUAAUCCUCGUUUAAUCUUACCUUUAUUUGUUUAGCUUGUAUACCUCCGUUGUCAGAUUACUUUAAAAGAAUGUUUUCUAUAAAAAUUAUUUUUUUACUUCAGGUCAAGGUGCAGUUUAUAUAAAGGAAAUAAUGAGCUACAAUUUUUAUUAAAAACGGAUUUCAAUUUAAAAUUUGAUUGAAGGUGGAUUUGUUAGUAAACUUUUUUAAGAAAAAAAGAUUGAAUCAGGCAAUAGAAUGUGUACAUAUCGCCCGUCACUCUCCUUUUAAGAGGAGAUAAGUCGUAACAAA
rnacentral:rRNA from 1 species